rnacentral:rRNA from 12 species
AGUUACGGCCACAUCAUCGUGAAAAGACCAAAUCCCGUCCGAUCUUUGCAGUCAAACACGAUCGAGCUUCGUCAGUACUAUGGUGAGAGAUCACAUGGGAAUACGAAGUGCUGUAAUUU